GAGGACAGAUUGCAGCUAUCUCAGAAUCAUGUUGGUCUUUGGAGGUUUUCCCAGAAUCCCAGGGGACAGAUAGAACAUUUCUGCAGUGUCAACUAUGGGUGACAUCACAAUAUCACCCAGGAAGUAGAAGGAUUUUGGUGAGGGAUAGACAAUGGGAGACUGCCAUCAUUUCAGUGUUUUCCACACUUAGGGGGUGUAUAGUAGAAAAAGAGGAAAGCUGGCUUAGGGUAUCCAAGUCUGGGGUUCUGGGGCUGCUUCCCCUACUUACUCACCAUGCAACCUCUCUAAGCAUCAGAGUUUUUAUUUUAAUCUGUACAAGGUGGCUAAUAAUAUUUAAUAUAGCUCUCAUACUCAUCUUGUGCAAUUAAUUAUGAGACUCCAACUGGAAACUACCUGUGAGAAUGCUUUUACACAAAGUCAUACACACAUAAGGGACCUGCAUUCUUAGUAUCAAGAGGGUUGCAGGGGCCCAGGGAAUUUCUGACUCUCUCCCACUCCUUUGCCCUGAACUGGCCUCACCUAGUCUCCUGCUGCUUAUGUGAACCAUGCUCUGAGUGGUACCUGAAGCAUGCCACACAAGGAAGGAAGGUGGCCACCAUCUCUUAUCUCACAAUUUCCCUGCUUCAACCCCAGUCCCUCCACUGGGAGGGAAUCAGGGGAAAUAUAAGGAAGAAGACAGGAGAAGAAAUAAGAUUGGACCUAUAAUCUCUAAAGAUAACAGAACUGAGGCACAGAUUGGUUAUGUAGCAUGCCUGAAGUUACACAGCCUGUAAGAGCAAAGCUGGAUUGCAAACCAGAUCUCGUGACUACAAACUCUGGCCUUUGGCUUGAUUUUCUGCCAUGUUCCUGGUGAUCAGUCUCAACAGAAGCCCAGCACUGUCCUGAUGGCCUUUCCUGAUUUCUACCAGCUGUGAGCUCCUCAAGCCUUGGUUUGCAUCCCUCAAGCCUUGACUACUUCUUCCCAACCCAGCCUCUGAUUUACAAUCUCUGGCUCCAAUCCUGCCCACAUCUUGAUGAGACAUAACAAAGAUGAUCUACAACUGAGAUUUGAACCUUGUUUGGACUACAGUGUUGGGAUGCAUUUCGGUGGAACAGGAGAAAUAAUCCUCAAUGAAGCCUCAGGGGUUGGAGUCAUACUUCUCUAGGAUUAACUGAUAUUUACUGGUGAUCUUUCUUUCCACUAUUAAACAGGGCCACCUGCUAAGACCCUCCACUCUCAAUGCUUUGGAAUGCAUCUCACCUAGUUCAAUGGUUUUCAAUGCUGGCUGUGCAU